rnacentral:rRNA from 2 species
UUUGAUCCUGGCUCAGGACGAACGCUGGCGGCGUGCCUAAUACAUGCAAGUCGAGCGAAUCUUGAGGUGCUUGCACCUCUUGGUUAGCGGCGGACGGGUGAGUAACACGUGGGCAACCUGCCUGUAAGACUGGGAUAACUUCGGGAAACCGGAGCUAAUACCGGAUAAUCCUUUCCCUCACAUGAGGGAAAGCUGAAAGUCGGUUUCGGCUGACACUUACAGAUGGGCCCGCGGCGCAUUAGCUAGUUGGUGAGGUAACGGCUCACCAAGGCGACGAUGCGUAGCCGACCUGAGAGGGUGAUCGGCCACACUGGGACUGAGACACGGCCCAGACUCCUACGGGAGGCAGCAGUAGGGAAUCUUCCGCAAUGGACGAAAGUCUGACGGAGCAACGCCGCGUGAGCGAUGAAGGCCUUCGGGUCGUAAAGCUCUGUUGUUAGGGAAGAACAAGUAUCGGAGUAACUGCCGGUACCUUGACGGUACCUAACCAGAAAGCCACGGCUAACUACGUGCCAGCAGCCGCGGUAAUACGUAGGUGGCAAGCGUUGUCCGGAAUUAUUGGGCGUAAAGCGCGCGCAGGCGGUCCUUUAAGUCUGAUGUGAAAGCCCACGGCUCAACCGUGGAGGGUCAUUGGAAACUGGGGGACUUGAGUGCAGAAGAGGAAAGCGGAAUUCCACGUGUAGCGGUGAAAUGCGUAGAGAUGUGGAGGAACACCAGUGGCGAAGGCGGCUUU